CACACCGAAACCCUAGCCUCCGUGUUCCUUUGGCUUGAAGCUUCUACAUCUCAUUUUCUAUGAAAACAUACGCUUGUGCUUGAAUCGACUGAUAAAGGAAACACGCUUUGCCCUUUCCAAUUCCUGCUCUCAAACCCUACUGUCCGAAUACACAUCUUCCCCUUCACGUUUCCUGCCGAUCAAUCGAUUUAUCAAUCCUAUAAUAUACUAAUCUCAUCAAUGUUGAAAGCCAUCAUCAAUUUGGUGUAGAUGGGUAUUCAAGAAAAUAAAGGCAUAAGUGGGAGUUUGGGUUCGUUUCUUACUCGCAGAUGCUUUGGUUGUCUUAUGAGGGGCUACUUAGAAGGUUUUGGUGUGUGCUGCCUCCUUUAGAAGAAGAGGAUGUUCCUCAACUAUACCCAAAAGGGCCAAAUCUUGGUGAGUGAGCUUGAGAAACAGUUGAAAAUGGAGAUAAAAUCAAGAAACAGAGCCAGAGCCGAAAAGAUCUGGUAAAAGACAUAAUUUCUCUUUAGAUGAUGGUAAUUUAGGGUCUUUUGAUGAGGAUAUUUUUGGGUAGUCUAAUGAGAAUAAGAGUCAGAAAGAAAGAUGGAGCUGAAGAUCUUUUAAAAAAGAAGAUGACAAUGGGUAUGUUUCUUAAAUUUAGAACUUGAUUUAAAACAUUUAGCUUUAGAUAAGGUGUUAACAUAAAUUUUUGACUAUUUGUAGCUAGAUUUUAUGUAUUUUGGUUCCAGCGGAAUGAAAUGGUCAAGACCGGGUUCUCCGGGUUCGGAGGAACCCGACUUUGUAGUGGGGCUACUUCAACUUAAAAGAUGAAACAAGGGUUACUAAAUAAAGUUCAAUAAGCAAUCCCAAACACCCCUCUAAAAGUAACUUAUUUAGUUAAUGCUUAAAAGUCAAAUGUGGUCAUGAUUUGUUCUUUUGAUGUUUUCUUUUCUUAUAUGCUCAGGCAUGAUUUUACUUUCAACAACUUAUAUCAUGAGUUAGUUACUGUCAUUCAAUGUUAUACAAUCUUUUCGUUCAGUUUACCAUUCUACCAUUUCUUUGUUCAUAACAAUAUCGCCUCUAGCUCUAUUCUUCACCGAUUAUUGUGUUGCAGGACAUUUGUCACGGAUAUCUUAAGCUUGAAAAUACACUGUUGGAAGUGCAGCUCCUCGUGUUAAAAAUACUUAAAAUAUGUGAUUUUGGGUAUUCAAAGUUUGAUCACAAAUGUUGCAGCCGCUCCUCUCACCGAUCGACCUGAUCACAAGUGCAGGAUUCCGGCGACAUUCGAUUAGGAUUCCGGUUAGGUCAAUUUGAAUUCAGCGAGUGGUUGCAAUUGAUAAGAUUUGAUUAGCAUGGAACAUCGAAAGGAUGAGGUUGUUGAGAGGAUCAACUUUAGAUCAUAAAAUGAUGCACUCAUAGCUGCGACUUCAAGAUGGAAAGGUUGAACAUGAUCAUACAAGAGAUGGUGAAAGAAAAAGAAGAGAAAGAAAGGUUGAACGGAAGGAUGACAAAUGUUGAACGAUGCUAAAAAUUAGGUAUCAAAACGUCUAAUCAUCGAGUUGGUUAUAAGCACUUUAUUUUGGAUAUGUAUUUUGUUCGGAGAACUCAUGUAUUUAAUUUGAUGUUUUAAGUGGAAUGCUUUAUAUAAUUUUGAAAAUUCUAGAAAU
rnacentral:lncRNA from 1 species